rnacentral:rRNA from 1 species
UACGGAGGGUGCAAGCGUUGCUCGGAAUUAUUGGGCGUAAAGGGUAGGUAGGUGGUCUCAUUUGUCUGGGGUGAAAGCCUUGAGCUUAACUCAAGAAGUGCCCCAGAAACGGUGAGACUAGAGUCCUGGAGAGGGUCGUGGAAUUCCCGGUGUAGCGGUGAAAUGCGUAGAGAUCGGGAGGAACACCGGUGGCGAAGGCGGAUCUCUGGGCCAUUACUGACGCUGAGGAGCGAAAGCGUGGGGAGCGAACAGG